rnacentral:rRNA from 1 species
UACAGAGGUCUCAAGCGUUGUUCGGAUUCAUUGGGCGUAAAGGGUGCGUAGGCGGCGCGGUAAGUCGGGUGUGAAAUCUCGGAGCUUAACUCCGAAACUGCAUUCGAUACUGCCGUGCUUGAGGACUGGAGAGGAGACUGGAAUUUACGGUGUAGCGGUGAAAUGCGUAGAUAUCGUAAGGAAGACCGUGGCGAAGGCGGGUCUCUGGACAGUUCCUGACGCUGAGGCACGAAGGCCAGGGGGAGCAAACGGG